GCUUGGGUAGCUCAGGCGGUAGAGCAUAAAACUUUUAAUCUGAGGGUCAUAGGUUGAAGUUCCUAUUCAUGCA
rnacentral:tRNA from 1 species